UUAUGUUAUCGAAUUACAAGAGUAUCUUAUUGAGCAUAAGUAAUAAGUAAUGUAAAACUUGUAUUUACUAAAAGGAUGGGGGCAACCAUGGUAAAACCUUUGGUUAAAAACGGAAAUCUGUUGGACGCAUUGCCUUCGCAGGCAACCCUCCAUGUAGUAAUGUUAGGCCUGGAUUCUGCGGGGAAAACUACUGCAUUAUACAGACUUAAGUUCGAUCAGUAUUUAAAUACUGUGCCGACUAUUGGAUUUAAUUGUGAAAAAGUACAAGGUACUAUUGGUAAGGCAAAAGGAGUUCACUUUCUAGUUUGGGACGUAGGAGGUCAAGAAAAAUUACGACCUCUUUGGAGGAGCUAUACACGCUGCACCGAUGGCAUUUUGUUCGUUAUAGAUUCGGUCGAUACAGAACGAAUGGAAGAAGCAAAAAUGGAGUUAAUGCGUACCGCUAAAUGUCCUGAUAAUCAGGUUCUUCUUCGGAGUCAUCGAAUUCUGUCAUCGCCUACUUUUAAAAAAAAUUAUUAAAUUGGAUUGUGCUAUGCGAAUCAAGAAGGAGAACGCACUACCGGCCAAUUGAGGAGUUCAACAGUGUUGUUCCUUAAGAAGAUAUCGUCGUGUUAGUAGCUGUCAUCAGCAAAGCAAUCGACUGGGCACCAACACUGUUGAUCGAGACAACAUCAGUUGGUUCUUGCAGAGAGAAACAUAUUACGUUAACGAGAAGUGCAUGCCGAUGCCGAUACCACGAGUAAAACUAACGCGUUUAUAUAAUGCUCAGAUAAAUUUGGAACUUGGAUUGCACUUGGAUAUUAAUAAUGCCUAACACAAACAUCAAGAAGGUUAUCUAAUAUAUCAUCGUUUCGGCUAUAUUCAGAGCUAUUAUGGAGGGAGAUGUACCUUACCGGAAAACCAAGGUCACCUUCAAGGCGUAUUUCGUCGUAAGCUGUUGUAAUUUUGUGGAAUAUGUUGUCAAAGAUUUAUAUCAAGGAUAUACAUUUGAAAAGCAAAUUAAAAUGCUUCAGAUGGAUAAUGAUUCGGAGAAAUCUAUUCGAGAGUGCUGCACUAAUUUUAAAGUUAAGCUUGUAAAGCCACAAAAGCUGAGGCUACCUGACGACCUCAAGAUUUUGGAACAAAUUGAUAUAUUUUCGGUUUAGAAUAUUUUAUGUCCAAAAAAAUCCAACAUUAUUCCCAUUUUGAAAGAGUUUUCUUUUGAAGAUAUCGACAUCUAUUAAAAGAACAUUGACGAUACAAUAAAGUUUUGGGCGGAAGUAAAACUUUUUAAGGACUCGAACGAUUUUCUGAAUUAUCUUUGUUUGCGCUUCAGAUGUUGUCCUACCCAUGGUCCAACGCUUAAUUCAGUGUUGUGCAUAAGAUAUGGGUUGCGAAAACACAAAAAAUGUUGCAUAGACUAUAAAGUCCCCUUAGAUUUUAUAUAUAAAUAAAUGAUGAUACGGUUGAUGUUGAAGAUGACAUAUUAAAUAUAUUAUAAUUAAAUAAU